GAUAUGUACUAUUAUACCAUGAAACGGAGAAUAAGGCGAAUCAGAAAGUGCUAUGAUAGAAUCCUGUUUGAUUCUAUACAAUCACAUUGUUGGCAAUUGUAACGCGAUACAAGAAUCAAGACAACGAGAAGAAAGACACGAACAGUGCAGAACUCUCGCUGACACUGAGCGUCGCAUACGAAUCGAAUUGUUUACAAAGGGAAGAUGCUUGCCUGGAGGCGGCGAUUGCAAAACUAGUAGAAACAUGUAUGCAGAAAUGAAGAUGUUUACUGAUAUUGCACGGGGAUAAACAGGUUUGCGUUAUUCCUAAUGAACCGAUGCAUCUGUCGAUGACAACGUCUCAAGAAGUUACGUAGAAGGAUACAUUGUAUAAUUAUCAUAGAACAUUGAUAACAGAGAUCUAACGGUUGGAUGAGCAAUGUGUCUGGAUUCAAUCCAGCGAACGCAUAGAUUAUAUCGGUGCAUAGGCGGGAGUCCAAUCGUUCUGGAGCGAACAGUCCAUCUCCUUUACGGUAGAGCGACCACGAAGUUAUGUAGCAGACUACACGGGGACCCUUCUUCGGAGAAAUCUCUAAAUUUUGGAAAGCUUGCGUUUCCCUUAUCUCAGUCUGUGAAAAGAUGAAGUACCCAAAAUGGCAGCAAUAUAAAUCAGAUGGCUGCAUCGAUGGUCCGGCACGGAUUGGGGAAACAAAGAGAACGGCUCUAUCCUGUGAACCGCGCUGGAGUCCAAAUGGCAUACCACUUUUGGAUUAAUGAUUUGCUCGGUCCUUGUUAAAGUUGGUGGUGCUAAUGGCUCGAUCCAGAUGGACUCGUGGUCGAGAUUACCGAAGAAAGGAGCUUCCCGAUGUUCCACGGCGUCCCUUAAAGGUACUCGGCCCCUAAACCAGUAUUAAUCGUCCUUUGUUAAUUAUCCAAUGGACAAACAAUUAACCAGAAACAUCGAGUAAGCCCAUUGGCAGCUUCAAUUUGCAACCUCGACGAGCAAUUGUCAAUAAAUUAAUCAUGGAAUGAGGUAGACUGACGACUUGAAAGUCGAUCUUGUUUGCGGGCAACGCUUCGACCGCGUCACGUAGAGGGAAUCUCUCCGAUCCGUAUUCAGCAUGGGUGAUGGAAGGAUCCAUCAACGGGUUCUCGAUCAUCGGAGGAC